rnacentral:rRNA from 1 species
AUUGAACGCUGGCGGCAGGCCUAACACAUGCAAGUCGAACGAGGGGCGGACGGGUGAGUAAUGUCUGGGAAACUGCCUGAUGGAGGGGGAUAACUACUGGAAACGGUAGCUAAUACCGCAUACCAUCAGAUGUGACCAGAUGGGAUUAGCUAGUUGGUGGGGUAACGGCUCACCAAGGGGACGAUCCCUAGCUGGUCUGAGAGGAUGACCAGCAACAUGGGCACUAGGCCCAGGUCAAGAACCCGAAGGGAGGCAGUAGGGGGGAAUAUUGCCCAAUGGGCGCAAGCCUGAUGCAGCAAUGCCGUGGGUAAGAAGAAGGCCUUCGGGUGGUAAAGUACUUUCAGCGGGGAGGCGUUACCCGCAGAAGAAGCACCGGCUAACUCCGUGCCAGCCGCCGCGGUAAUAC